UACAGAGGGUGCAAACGUUGUUCGGAAUUACUGGGCGUAAAGGGCGCGUAGGCGGCCUUCUAAGUCGAACGUGAAAUCCCCGGGCUCAACCCGGGAACUGCGUCCGACACUGGAAGGCUUGAAUCCGGGAGAGGGAUGCGGAAUUCCUGGUGUAGCGGUGAAAUGCGUAGAUAUCAGGAGGAACACCGAUGGCGAAGGCAGCUCUCUGGGCCCUAUCUGACGCUGAGGUGCGAAAGCGUGGGGAGCGAACGGG
rnacentral:rRNA from 1 species